rnacentral:lncRNA from 1 species
UCGAAACACCGAUCUCCCCCAGCCCCUUAGCAGAUGGAUCAGAUAGCCUUUAAUGAUCUUCUCUCCUUACGAGGUAGACAUAAGGCACGUUUUCCUAGAUAUCCUCCCCACCCCCCCGUAAAGCGGUACCCUUUAAAUCCUGCAGCCAAGAAGUUCAUAUGCUCAAUGGAUGACAAAGUAAGGCUGCAGUAUGAGAGUGCGAAGAGUUUUUUUCCAGACCAGCUUCAUUCAGGCUCUUAGCCCCGUGUUUCCUGCCCAGCAAUCAAAGGCAAGGAUGGCCCUGGAAGAAGCGUGAUGCCACAGUUGUACCAUAAAUUUAUUCUGUCGAUAGUACGAGGCCGAGCAAGUACUGUGUUAGUUUCUGCUGCGAUGCUGAAUAAGCCGUAGGAAGGGGGUUGCAGUGCAGAACACAUCUCCUCCUGCAACUUGUUUCCCCUCACAGCAUGCCUCUGCUUUCCGCGAGUUACGCUGUAUUAGCAACGGAGAGGACAGAAGAGGGAUUUUUAAAGGUGCUUAGGCAGCCGAAGAGGUAGGGAGAUGACUUACAGGACUUAGGAUCCCAGCAGAAGAAACCUGAGUAUCUUCAAAAAGCAAAAUUCUUACGGCAAACCUUCCCUUUCCCUACUCUACCUCAUCAGCGGCAGCCUCCCAUCACGGCAUUAUUUUAAUUAGCAAUUAAAAUGCCCCGGAAAGAGCGCUGCGAUCGGCAUUCCUGGUGGCUCCGAGGGUCUGCUUUCCCCACGAACUGAAAAAUAAAUAAAUCAGCGCCCAGCGCCGGGGUCCCCUCGCUCAGCCCCGGGGCCCGGCCCAUGGCGGCGGGGGCGGGGGCGGGGGUGGGGGCGCGGCGGGAGCCCCUGCGCGGCCGCCGCCCCCUGCCGCGGCCCGGCCGCGCUUCCGCCGCCGUCAGCUGACUGCGGCCGGCAGCCCGCACAGCCGGCAAGCCCGGCCCCGAGCCGCGGUGACUGCGGAAGCCCCGCUGCGCCCGCUCGCCCCUCGCCCUCCCGCCCCCCUCUCCCCGGCCAUGGCAGGGGUCGUGGUGAGCGGAGCACAAGUAAGUGUGCGCGGCGCGGCCCCACCUGCCGGCGGCACCGUGCUGCUCCCCGCCCCGCCCCGCCCCGCCAACGGCAGCGGGGCCGCCGGGCUGGGCUGCG